rnacentral:rRNA from 1 species
UACGUAGGGCGCAAGCGUUGUCCGGAAUCAUUGGGCGUAAAGAGCUCGUAGGCGGUUUGUCGCGUCUGCCGUGAAAGUCCGGGGCUCAACUCCGGAUCUGCGGUGGGUACGGGCAGACUAGAGUGAUGUAGGGGAGACUGGAAUUCCUGGUGUAGCGGUGAAAUGCGCAGAUAUCAGGAGGAACACCGAUGGCGAAGGCAGGUCUCUGGGCAUUAACUGACGCUGGAGGAGCGAAAGCAUGGGAGCGAACAGG